UUUCCGUAGGUGACCUGCGGAAGGAUCAUUCAUAAUAAGUGUUUUAUGGCACUUUUUUAAAUCCGUAUCCACCUUGUGUGCAAUGUCAGGGUUGAUUUUUCUCUCGAGAGGAUCAGCCCCAAACAUCAACUAUAUCUCAACUCUUUGUCUGAAAAAUAUUAUGAAUAAAACAAUUCAAAAUACAACUUUCAACAACGGAUCUCUUGGCUCUC
rnacentral:misc_RNA from 1 species